rnacentral:rRNA from 1 species
CGUUAGCGGCGGACGGGUGAGUAACACGUGGGUAACCUAUCUAUAAGACUGGGAUAACUUCGGGAAACCGGAGCUAAUACCGGAUAAUAUUUCGAACCGCAUGGUUCGAUAGUGAAAGAUGGUUUUGCUAUCACUUAUAGAUGGACCUGCGCCGUAUUAGCUAGUUGGUAAGGUAACGGCUUACCAAGGCGACGAUACGUAGCCGACCUGAGAGGGUGAUCGGCCACACUGGAACUGAGACACGGUCCAGACUCCUACGGGAGGCAGCAGCU